rnacentral:lncRNA from 1 species
GCACGAGGGUGCAGCAGCACUGCUCUAAGUCACACCCACAUCCCCAUCACUGGCUGGAUGGACGGAGAAGAGUGUGUGAAUGUCUCCUGCGUAGUUCUACUCCCAUCUGAGCAUCACGGAACAUAAAGGAUACGGGCAUCCAGGGAGGGGAGGUCUGAUGUGCGAUUUCUUUCAAAACCACAGCUUAAGGGUGGGUCCCUGGGCCGUAGCCUGGCCAUGUUAAUGUUUUCACAGGACAUGCUGAGCAUUUAGAUUAAAGAAGCUGGGUGUGUA